CUUUUCAUUACAUCAAUUUAAAAUGUAGAGCAAUCUUCAGCUGCACACAGAGAUAUAGAAUUUAAUUAACUUAGAACAGAUGGACACAUUAGUAUAAUCAUACCUAAAAUCUCCAAGAAGCUCAGUGCCAAAAUCUAUGGAGAAGUGCAGGUCAGAGGUCCCUCCACCCUUACUUAUCCCUUAGAAACCAAACAGACCAAUUCCCCCUGUCCCAUUUCCCUUCCCUUCUUUUUCUCUCCCCACGACAGACCUUCCAUCCGCUCCCUUUUAAUUCUCCACACAGUGGGAUCAUCUCAGAUUUUCGAUUGUCUUGUCACAGAGACCCCUAAAGGGCCUACGCACACACACCCCUACUUACCAACAGAUGAACACACACAUUCAUGCUCACUGUCCUCCCCCCACCACUCCUGAAUCAAGGAGGGAGUCUCCUACAUGGUUGUUUAACCUGCUAGAAAUAGCAGUCAAAUCCCUAAUCAUUAAGGGCAAAUGUGGGAGGGCAAACAACCUGCUGAUUAAUCUGUGUACCCCUUCCACAUAGCUUAUCUCAUCAGUUUCUGUUCAGUUAACCCAGUAUACCCAUUAUUAACCCACUAAUGUCAGUACUUUAGACCCAACAUGUUAUCCUUGCCCAUGUUCCUUUUCAAGGGGUAAUAUGUUACCCUACCAAUGCCUGUGUAUUUAACCUAGAAAUAUUAAAACUCCAGGGCCUCUACAAAGGGCACAAUUUAUUACCCAAGUCUAGUGUCUUUACAUUUGAUUUAGGGGACAGUAAAUUUUGUUACAUGGGUACACUUUGUGUUACUUACACACCAAUGGUGCCUUUAUAGGGGCACAGUGCAUAUAUUACCCCACCAAUACCUAUGUCAUUAACUCAAAUUAUAUUGCCCCACACUAGUGUCUCUACUGGGAGCACAAUACAUUGCCACCCCACCUGUGCCUUUACAGAGGGAACAAUGUUACCCCACUCAAGUACUUUUAUGGAAGGCACAGUAUAUAAUCCCAUUGCAGUGCCUUUACAUGAAAUAUACUGUUACCCCACAGCUGUGCCUUUACAGGGGACAUACUAUGUUACUUUACUUCAGUGCAUUUACAGAGGGAACAAUGUUAUCCCCUUCAGGGGACACAAUAUGUUACCCCACUGCAGUGCCUUUACAGGAGUAACACUGUUAACUCACACCAGUGCCUUACAGAGGUAACAAUGUUACCCCACACCAGUGCCUUUACAGGGAACACACUGUACCCCUACAACAGUGCCUUUAUAUAUGGAUCACAAUGUUACUUCAGUCCAGUGUUUUUUCAGGGAACAUAUUAUGUUAUCCCAGCCUCUGUACACUUGAUUCAAAAUGUUAGCCCAAUGUUCUCAAUCCAGUACCUUUAGCAAGGACUACAUACAUGUUAUCCUGCUACUGUUAGUACAUUUGAUUCUUAUCUCUGCAUAUGUUAGCCCACAUUAGCUCCAGAAUGGACAGCUCAACAUAUGUAAGCUGACACUAGGCCCAAUAUGGGUCAACCUGUGUUAGUCCACACCAAACCCACAAGAGAUGGCCCAACAUGUUAGCCCACACCAGGCUCAAUAUGAAUAAUCUAACAUAUAUUAGCCCACACCAGGUCCAGUAUGGAUGUCCCAACAUAUGUUAGCCCAGACCGGCCUAGUAUGAAUCAAACAACACCUGUUCGCCCAGUAUGGGUCAACCAACAUAUGUUAGCCUAGUAAGAAUGACAUAACAUCUUUAUCUCACACCAUACUCAGUAUGGAUGCCCCAAUUUAUGUUGACCCACAACAAACCCAAUAUGGAUGACUCGACAUAUGUUAGCCCAGACCAGGCCCAAUAUGGGUCAACUAACCUGUUAACCAAUACCAAGCCCAGUAAGGAUGACCAAACAUGUUAACCCACACCAGGCCCAGCAUGAGUCACACCAAGUGUUAACCCACCAAAAAAUCCGGGUCCAAUGAAACCCUAAAGUCAUUCUAUUUCGCUCCUUUUCUGAAAUAAAAGGGAAAGGAGGACUGAGAGGAUCCCAUUAAAUUCUAAAAUGACCCCAUCUAACAACAACAACAGCUAUCUUAUUAGCCCUAUUUUCUGCCGUUGCCAUAGCAACAUAGUCAUUAUUUUUUGUUUUGUUUUUUUGUUUCUUUUGUUGAUUUUUAAUGAAAUAAAAUAUUUAUUCAGCCGUAA